UCACGCAGUGCCAGGCAUCUUUUGUCCAGUACCCGAGCUGCGUCAAAUCUUACGAUGUCUCCAUUCAAUAUUCUGGCGAUCGUCGUCAUUUCAGUUGCUAUUACCUCCAUUACGGACAGCACAGGAGUCAGGAACAGCCACACUGGUACCUGUCCUGCUGUUGGGAAGUAUUGCCUUACAGAGGGAAAUAAUGACUUAAAGUGCCCUCCAGGUUGCGAGUGCAUCGUCAUGGUGGGCGAAGGAAUCAACUCUAAACAAGGAAAUUGCUCUGAUCCUAGGACAAGGGGAUAAUCCUUUUAUGCGGACAUGAAAUAAAGCAUUCCAAUAU
rnacentral:lncRNA from 1 species